rnacentral:lncRNA from 1 species
UUAAAGCCAGUAGCCACCAUCUUCUCCACAUCGCACCGCCGCCCCAUCAGCAAACCCAACCGCACUAGCCCACCCCAAAUUCAAGCCCUAUCACCAUCGCAAUCCACUCUCAAACAUCGACGCCCAACUUCAAAAACAAGCAAGAAUCAAGAGGCAUAUAAUCCAGAUCUGCCACCUCUCAAUCUCUCUCUUUUUUACUUUUCUUCACAAACUCUCAAUCUCCUCUUUUGGACUAUGGCGAGGGGGCCUAUGUUGUUGAGUUGUGAGGAUGGGUCACCUGUGAUGGGAAAUUGAGAUGAAGAGGAAGGGAUGGUGCUGCCUCUUCUCUCCUAUUCCGCUCCCCCUUCUCCCUUAGUUGACAUGUUAAUCUCCUAAAAGAAGAUAGCAUACGUAUGAGGUUUUUUCCUUUUGGUUUCUGGGUAUUCAUGGGUUUUGAUCCAUUUGUUGUGUGGCGAAUUGGUUGUGUAUUGGGGUAUGGGCUGUGAAUGAUUGGAUCUAGUGGGGGGAUGGUGGUUGCAAGGUUUGUAGGGGAAAGUGUGGCAGAUUGGUGCGCGCUGGGGUGUGGUCUACCAUGGGCGGGUUGAGGGUGGGGAUGAAAUUCAACUUCAGGGUGAUGUGGGCAGCUUGGGAAAGAUUAGGGGAGAUGGUGGCUAUAGGGAAGAAGGUCGGGGUUGUGAUGCCAUUUUUUUCCGUACUAAUACUUUAAUUUUUUAAAAUUUUGUUUCUUUUUUCUUUUAGAUUUUUGAAUUUUUAUUGUUGUGGCCUUUACCACAAUGACCCUGCCAUGUUAGUUUUUCCGACGGUCUUUUGGAUGACGUUAACGGUGGAGGGGUAAG